rnacentral:rRNA from 1 species
AUUGAACGCUGGCGGCAGGCCUAACACAUGCAAGUCGAGCGGAUGAAGGGAGCUUGCUCCUGGAUUCAGCGGCGGACGGGUGAGUAAUGCCUAGGAAUCUGCCUGGUAGUGGGGGAUAACGUCCGGAAACGGGCGCUAAUACCGCAUACGUCCUGAGGGAGAAAGUGGGGGAUCUUCGGACCUCACGCUAUCAGAUGAGCCUAGGUCGGAUUAGCUAGUUGGUGGGGUAAAGGCCUACCAAGGCGACGAUCCGUAACUGGUCUGAGAGGAUGAUCAGUCACACUGGAACUGAGACACGGUCCAGACUCCUACGGGAGGCAGCAGUGGGGAAUAUUGGACGAUGGGCGAAAGCCUGAUCCAGCAAUGCCGCGUGUGUGAAGAAGGUCUUCGGAUUGUAAAGCACUUUAAGUUGGGAGGAAGGGCAGUAAGUUAAUACCUUGCUGUUUUGACGUUACCAACAGAAUAAGCACCGGCUAACUUCGUG